AUGCUCGCUUUGAAAGCACGUAUUCUAGAUAUUGGAACAAUACAGAGAAGAUUAGCAUGGCCCCUACACAAGAAUGACACGCAAAUUUGUGAAGCAUUACAUAUUUUU